AGAGUUUGAUCCUGGCUCAGAGCGAACGUUAGCGGCAGGCCUAACACAUGCAAGUCGAGCGAGAAAAAGGGGUUCGCCCCUUGAGUAAAGCGGCGCACGGGUGAGUAACGCGUGGGUAAUCUGCCCUUCGAUGGAGGACAACAACUCGAAAGAGUUGCUAAUACUGCAUACGUCGGCGAGGUCUUCGGAUCACGCCGGGAAAGGUGCCGCAAGGUGCCGUCGAAGGAGGAGCCCGCGUCCCAUCAGCUAGUUGGUGAGGUAAUGGCUCACCAAGGCAAAGACGGGUAGCUGGUCUGAGAGGAUGAUCAGCCACACUGGGACUGAGACACGGCCCAGACUCCUACGGGAGGCAGCAGUGGGGAAUAUUGGACAAUGGGCGAAAGCCUGAUCCAGCCAUGCCGCGUGAGUGAUGAAGGCCUUCGGGUCGUAAAGCUCUGUGGGGAGGGAAGAAUCGUUGCAGCAUCAGAUCCUGCAACUUGACGGUACCUCCUUAGCAAGCACCGGCUAACUCCGUGCCAGCAGCCGCGGUA
rnacentral:rRNA from 1 species